UGGGCGAAGCCUGAUCCAGCCAUGCCGCGUGUGUGAAGAAGGUCUUCGGAUUGUAAAGCACUUUAAGUUGGGAGGAAGGGUUGUAGAUUAAUACUCUGCAAUUUUGACGUUACCGACAGAAUAAGCACCGGCUAACUCUGUGCCAGCAGCCGCGGUAAUACAGAGGGUGCAAGCGUUAAUCGGAAUUACUGGGCGUAAAGCGCGCGUAGGUGGUUUGUUAAGUUGGAUGUGAAAGCCCCGGGCUCAACCUGGGAACUGCAUCCAAAACUGGCAAGCUAGAGUACGGUAGAGGGUGGUGGAAUUUCCUGUGUAGCGGUGAAAUGCGUAGAUAUAGGAAGGAACACCAGUGGCGAAGGCGACCACCUGGACUGAUACUGACACUGAGGUGCGAAAGCGUGGGGAGCAAACAGGAUUAGAUACCCUGGUAGUCCACGCCGUAAACGAUGUCAACUAGCCGUUGGAAUCCUUGAGAUUUUAGUGGCGCAGCUAACGCAUUAAGUUGACCGCCUGGGGAGUACGGCCGCAAGGUUAAAACUCAAAUGAAUUGACGGGGAAUCGAAUUCCCGCGGCCGCCAUGGCGGCCGGGAGCAUGCGACGUCGGGCCCAAUUCGCCCUWGGGGRNRNCCG
rnacentral:rRNA from 1 species